CACGGACCUAGAUGAGGACAGGCAUUUCCUGCCCAUAUGCUGCAUUUACCAAGACCACCCUGGACUGCCUCGCCUCCAUCCUGGGCCUAUACAAACCCUCAAGACACUAGCGGGCCAGAGGAGGAGAAGAGCACAUCGGCCGCGGAAGGAGACACCAAGCGGCUGAGAGAGAAACAGUGAAACGCAGUUGCUGGGCCCUCUGUGUCUUUCUGCAGAGAGCAAGGAAGGCCCAGGAAAUGAGUGGCCUGGACCGUCGGUGGGUGAGGCCUGGACCCCGAGACCCCUCUCCUGGAGGGAAGUCAGGAUGGAGAGAGACCCAGAUCUAAGGCCACGAGGACUUGGCCUCCCAGAGGGCUGGGGGGCAACCAGUGAGAUGGGGUGGGGGCUGUGAGGCCCCAGAGGCGUUGAGAAAUGUGAAAUUCCUGGCAAGAAAAGGAAGUUGUUUGAAGGAAUUGGUGGGCUGGGAGCCAGAGCCCUGGGGGCUCCUCCAGGGACACCGGCAGACGGGAGUUACUUUGUCACCUUGUUCCUCGGAUUGACUGUGUUUCUCUGAGGACGCCUCGGGCGGAGACUGGGCCACAGGCAAUGCAUAUUUGGGAUAGCGCCUGUGCUGAAUCCUUUGCCCAGACAUCACACUUCCCUUCUGCAAGGCUGAAUCCUAGCUGAGAGACAUCCUCCCAAACACCAAUCAGCGCUCAGCGCUCCCCACCAGGCGGCACAGACCCCGCGGUUCUCACAGACCCCGCGGUUCGCACAGACCCCGCGGUUCGCACAGACCCGGCGGUUCUGCAGCUCCGUUCUCCGGGGUCCUCCAGUGCUUGAAUUUUGAGAAACGCUGCGGUCAGCAAUGGAGAUUUGUCUUUGAAAUAUUAUCCCACAAGAUGGCCCAUGUGGCCCCAUCUGGUUCCCCUCCCUUUCCCCUCACACCACCAUGGAUGGACGGCCGGGGCUCUGGUCGCUCCCUCUUGAGUCUGUGCUCCCCACUUGGGUUCCCGGGGAGAUUUUCCUGAAUCCAGCACUGCUGUUCCCCUCACUCAGGGGCCAGCCUCGAAGGUCAUCUCCAGUCCCCAAACCUGCAUUCAGAGCUCUGCAGGGCUUUGAGACACUAACUGUGUGACCUGCUGCGGCCAUUCUGAGAGAGGCCUCCGCGUAAGCUGCUCUGUGUCUGACGCCCCUACAGGGUGGUCUGCACAGCGUCCCCGGCCUGCGGUGUCCAGGGAGGGCCAAUGGGUAUCAGGCCGAGACUCCUGCCCCGACCUGCUUCUCCCUGGGCUCUCCCUCCCAUGGAGCCCCCUCCAUCUGACCCCAAGUUGGUUUCAUCCCCAGCAACAGGCGACAUGGUGGGGGAGCCUUCCCGAGGGCUGCUCUCUCAAGCGGCUCCCUCGAAGCUGGUGUUUCGAUGCCUUCACGGCUCUUUGUUGUUCUCAUCUAUUAUUUCUUCCUGCUGCCCUUUUGCAGGCACGCAGAACGCUCUCCAGGGCUGAUGGUUUGUGGACUGGAGGGCAAGAAACCUUACCCUGUCCUCCUCCACCUUCGACAUCUCUCCCCGAUACAAACCUGCCCAGAUUGUCCGGGGCUUGGGAGCCGCACGGGGCCGUGUGACUGGGCAUCCUCUGAGUGUAUGCGUGUGCAAGCGUGUGUGGGCACAUGCUGUCUGACUUGAGGUGCACAUCCUUCUGUCUUUCGGCACAGGUCUGCGGGUGCACGCAUCUCCCCAGGAGGGUUGGCCCCCGCCUUGUGGUUGUCCCUCCCUAUGUGCCUCCCACCCCUGGGUGCGUCUGUCUGUGGGUCUGCCUGUCCCUGGGUGCACCUGUCUGGGGUCCGCCUGUCUCUGGGUGCGCCUGUAUGUGGGCCCGCCUGUCCCUGGGUGCGCCUAUCUGUGGGUCUGCUUGUCUCUAGGUGCGCCUGUCUGUGGGCCUGCCUCUCCCUGGGUGCACCUCUCUGUGGGUCGGCCUGCCCCUGGGUGCGCCUGCCUGUGGGUCGGCCCGCCCCUGUGUGCACCUGUUCGUUGGUCUGACUGUCCCUGGGUGCCCCUGUCUGUGGGUUGGCCUGUCCCUAAGUGUGCCUGUCUGUGGGUCUGCCUGUCCCUGGGUGUGCCUGUCUGUGAGUCUGUCUGUGACAGGCCCCCCCGAGCUUUGUCCCAACCCUGACUCUGCCCCUGUCUCUUCUUGGUCAACAGAGAUUACUAGAAAGUUAUGCCCUAUGCGGAGAUGAAACUGACUUCCCUGGGACUCUGGCCUGUGGGCGGGCUCUGAGUCUGUGCCAGGCCAAGGCCACAACACGCACUGUGUACUUUGUGGCCUGCAGCUGGUCCCUGGAACGGGAGAGUGGUUUGGGCUGGAAUCCAGCCUGGGACCCCUCUGCCCACCACGGUGUGUGGCAGACUGGA
rnacentral:lncRNA from 10 species